GCGAAAAUAGCUCAGCUGGUAGAGCGCCACCUUGCCAAGGUGGAGGUCGCGGGUUCGAGCCCCGGUUUUCGCU
rnacentral:tRNA from 1 species